GACGAACGCUGGCGGCGCGCCUAACACAUGCAAGUCGAACGAGAGAUGAGGAGCUUGCUCUUCAGAUCGAGUGGCGAACGGGUGAGUAACGCGUGAGGAACCUGCCUCAAAGAGGGGGACAACAGUUGGAAACGACUGCUAAUACCACAUAAGCCCACGGCUCGGCAUCGAGCAGAGGGAAAAGGAGUGAUCCGCUUUGAGAUGGCCUCGCGUCCGAUUAGCUAGUUGGUGAGGUAAUGGCCCCACCAAGGCGACGAUCGGUAGCCGGACUGAGAGGUUGAACGGCCACAUUGGGACUGAGACACGGCCCAGACCUCCUACGGGAGGCAGCAGUGGGAAUAUUGCACAAUGGGGGAAACCCUGAUGCAGCGACGCCGCGUGGAGGAAGAAGGUCUUCGGGAUUGUAAACUCCUAGUUGUUGAGGUAAGACAAUGACGGUACUCAACAAGGAAGUGACGGCUAACUACGUG
rnacentral:rRNA from 1 species